rnacentral:rRNA from 1 species
CCAGACUCCUACGGGAGGCAGCAGUGGGGAAUAUUGCACAAUGGGGGAAACCCUGAUGCAGCGACGCCACGUGAGUGAGGAAGUAUUUCGGUAUGUAAAGCUCUAUCAGCAGGGAAGAAAAUGACGGUACCUGACUAAGAAGCCCCGGCUGACUACGUGCCAGCAGCCGCGGUAAUACGUAGGGGGCAAGCGUUAUCCGGAUUUACUGGGUGUAAAGGGAGCGUAGACGGAAUAGCAAGUCUGAUGUGAAAACCCGGGGCUCAACUCCGGGAGUGCAUUGGAAACUGUUGAUCUAGGGUGUCGGAGAGGCAAGCGGAAUUCCUAGUGUAGCGGUGAAGUGCGUAGAUAUUAGGAGGAACACCAGUGGCGAAGGCGGCUUGCUGGACGAUGACUGACGUUGAGGCUCGAAAGCGUGGGGAGCAAACAGGAUUAGAUACCCCCGUAA